UACGAAGGGGGCUAGCGUUGUUCGGAAUUACUGGGCGUAAAGCGCGCGUAGGCGGUGAUCUUUGUCAGAGGUGAAAUCCCGAGGCUCAACUUCGGAAUUGCCUUUGAAACGGGAUCGCUUGAGUCCGAGAGAGGAUGGCGGAAUUCCUAGUGUAGAGGUGAAAUUCGUAGAUAUUAGGAAGAACACCGGUGGCGAAGGCGGCCAUCUGGCUCGGUACUGACGCUCAGGCGCGAAAGCGUGGGGAGCAAGCAGG
rnacentral:rRNA from 1 species